GCUCUUCAGAAGAGACAGAAAAGGGAGAAGAGGUGGAGGGGUGGCCCUUUAUAUUAAGGAGGCUUUGGACGUCAUAGGAAGAAGAGGUGGACAACUUAUUCUACAUGCAGCUGAAAAAUGUUUCAGGAUCAUCAGCCCUUGUCCUUGUAUGCGAUUUUAACCUACCAGACAGCUGCUGGGAACUUAAUACAGUGGAAAAGAGGAAGUCCAGGAAGUUAUUAGAGUGUGUGGAGGACAAUUUUUUGUUGCAGCUGGGUCUGCAGCACAAAAUCCCUCCUAGGCAAGCUGUCAACAAGGAGGAAGCAUCCUGUGUGCAGGGGCCCAGCCUGGCAGAUUAGCAGUAUUGCUCACCGCAAACCUGACGCAGCAAGAGAAGCUGCUGUGAGAGGACACAGCAGAGGAGAGCUCUGAGAGCUGUGGAAGAAAAUAACAGAUACAGCUGCCACUCUAAUCAUUGCACCAAGUUUCCAAUGAUGUCCUCAUUUUGCCAUGCCAGUGACCCAAUGUGGGAUGCUAGAGGAACUCACAGCAGUCAGUGGAGAAGAUGGUAGGAAUUACAGCUGAAGGAAAACUAGCAUAGCAAAGCUCAAUAUAAGCUUAAUCCUGCAUACCACACUGUGUUGCUGCUGCAUUUUGACUUCACUUGUUAAGCAAGACAUGCACUGCAGCAACUGGGCUUCUCUGCUGAGAGGAAUGCAAACUCUAGAUCAGAGGGAUGACAAGAGACACCAUUGCCUGCAGUGACUGUGGCCCGCAGCUGAGCAAGAAUCAAUCAUGUUGGUUUUUAUUCCAGAUCUUGGAGCUCUUGAGCCUUUUGCAUUAAA